UAUAUUCUGUAGCAAGGUUAACCGUAUAGGGGAGCCGGAGGGAAACCGAGUCUUAAUUGGGCGUUAAGUUGCAGGGUAUAGACCCGAAACCCGGUGAUCUAGCCAUGGGCAGGUUGAAGGUUGGGUAACACUAACUGGAGGACCGAACCGACUAAUGUUGAAAAAUUAGCGGAUGACCUGUGGCUGGGGGUGAAAGGCCAAUCAAACCGGGAGAUAGCUGGUUCUCCCCGAAAGCUAUUUAGGUAGCGCCUCGUGAAUUCAUCUCCGGGGGUAGAGCACUGUUUCGGCUAGGGGGCCAUCCCGGCUUACCAACCCGAUGCAAACUGCGAAUACCGGAGAAUGUUAUCACGGGAGACACACGGCGGGUGCUAACGUCCGUCGUGAAGAGGGAAACAACCCAGACCGCCAGCUAAGGUCCCAAAGUCAUGGUUAAGUGGGAAACGAUGUGGGAAGGCCCAGACAGCCAGGAUGUUGGCUUAGAAGCAGCCAUCAUUUAAAGAAAGCGUAAUAGCUCACUGGUCGAGUCGGCCUGCGCGGAAGAUGUAACGGGGCUAAACCAUGCACCGAAGCUGCGGCAG
rnacentral:rRNA from 1 species